rnacentral:rRNA from 1 species
GGUUUGAUUAUGGCUCAGAUUGAACGCUGGCGGGAUGCUUGUGAUGCGGCGUCGAACGGUGAAAGCACGGACUUCGGUCUGGCAUGAGUGGCGAACGGGUGAGUAAUGUAUCGGAACGUGCCUAGUAGCGAUAACUACGCGAAAGCGUAGCUAAUACCGCAUACGCCCUUUUGGGGGAAAGCGGGGGACCUUCGGCCCAAACAGCAGAUGUGUUCGAUAUCGGAUUAGCUUACAGUGUAACGGCCACCAAGGCGAUGAUCCGUAGCUGGUUUGAGAGACGAACAGCCACACUGGGACUGAGAUACGGCCCAGACUCCUACGGAGGCAGAAAGUGGGGAAUUUGGACAAUGGGAAACUCUGAUCCGCAGCCGUAUCCGGCGGCAAGAUGAAGGGCCUUUCUGGUUGUGUAAAAGCACUUUUGGCAGGAAAGAAACGGCACGGGAUAAUACCCCGUGCAACUGACGGUACCUGCGAAUGGAAGCGACUGGCGAAUCACGUGCCAGGCAGCCGCGGUAAUACGUAGGGCAAGCGUUAAUCGGAAUUACUGGGGCGUGAAAGUGCGCAGGCGGUUCGGAAAGAAAGAUGUGAAAUCCCAGAGCUUAACUUUGGAACUGCAUUUUUAACUACCGAGCUAGAGGUAUCAGAGGGAGUGUGGAAUUCCGCGUGUAGCAGUGAAACGCGCAGAUAUGCGGAGGAACACCGAUGGCGAAGGCAGCCUCCUGGGAUAACACUGACGCUCAUGCACGAAAGCGUGGGGAGCAAACAGGAUUAGAUACCCUGGUAGUCCACGCCCAAAAUGAUGUCAACUAGCUGUUGGGGCCUUUCGGGCCUUUGCGAAAGCAGCUAACGCGUGAAGUUGACCGCCUGGGGGAGCAUUGUCAAGAUUAAAACCUGCCAAAGGAAUUGACGGGGACUCCGCACAAGCGGUGGAUGAUGUGGAUUAAUUCGAUGCAACGCGAAAACUGACUUACCCCGGAUAUGUCUGGAAUCCCGAAGAGAUUUGGGAGUGCUCGCAAGAGAACCGGAACACAGGUGCUGCAUGGCUGUCGUCAGCUCGUGUCAGAGAUGUUGGGUUAAGUCCCGCAACGAGCGCAACCCUUGUCAUUAGUUGCUACGAAAGGGCACCUAAUGAGAUCGCUGUGACAAACCGGAGGAAGGUGGGGAUGACGUCAAGUCCUCGCUGGCCCUUAUGGGUAGGGCUCUUCAUUAAUGUCAUACAAUGGUCGGGACAGGGUCGCCAACCGGCGAGGGGAGCCAAUCCCAGAAACUCGAUUGUGGAAUUAGAUCGCAGUCUGCAACUCGACUGCGUGAAGUCGGAAUCGCUAGUAACUGCGGAUCAGCAUGUCGCGGUGAAUACGUUCCCGGGUCUUGUACACACCGCCCGUCACACCAUGGGAGUGGGUUUUACCGAAGUAGUUAGCCUAACCGUAAGGAGGGCGAUUACCACGGUAGGAUUCAUGACUGGUGAAGUCGUAACAAGGUAA